GGUAGGAGGCAAAAGGAAUCUUUGUUUUUAAAGUAGUUUGCUUAAAACUAAAGAGAAACAAACUCAUAGACACAGAGAACAAACUGAUGCUUGCCCCGGGGGAGACCAGUAGAGGAAUCUCCCGACAAGGAGGAAGAGGAUUAAGAAGUACAAACUUCCAGUUAUGAAAUACGUCACGGGGAUGUAACAUACAAGAUGGAAAUAGAGUCAAUAAUAUGGUAAUAACUAUGCAAGGUGACAGGCGGUUACUAGACUUAUUGUGGUGAUCACAUUACAAGCAGGACAUUUUCUGAAAUUCUAACUGACGCUACGGUAAUUUUUCUGAGUCUUUGGGCAGCUUGAGAACACACAGCAGGAAGAGCGUGAGGAACACGGACGGGACCUGUCAUCCUUCAAAGAAGUCCUGCUCAGGGCACGUAAUGUUUCACAAAGUUCCCACAUAUCUCAGUUCCUUCUUGAGCACAGCUUUAGUAAGCCAGUGACCUGGUCACUCUGGCCUUGCCUUAUGCUUUAAAGAGCCCACGGUCCCUUGGUCACAGGAUCUGCUGCCUCCUCUGGGUGUGUGUGGGAAAGUCACAUGGGGAGUCCCCACCCUCCCCAGCUCGGGUCAGCACCCAAGCCUGGCCAAGGCUCUCUUUGAAACAAACGGGGUACCUUUACCUAAGCAAGCAGCUCCUCUUGUUCUGAGUGAAUGAGAUCCACUGUGAGACCCACAGAUGCAAGAACUGAGGCCCUGAGCACUGAGGACACGCCAGAGACACCACACUUCCUGUCUGGGACAGAGCACGCGGAGCAGGGAUCUUCCGUCCUUUGGACCCUGUGUUCUAGCCCAGCCUUCACCAUCAGCCUUUUUUGGAACUGAGUCAAAUGCAGGCAUGAAAGCUCAAGUGACUUUGAGGAUCUCAAGUGACUUUGUGGCUAUGAGAUGCCACAGCGGCUGACAACUGUGUCCCCAGAAUCUGCAGGUUCCCCGGGCUUCCAAGAGGCUGAACAGCCUCUGAGGCGGGAGGAUGCUGACGUGUCUACCUGUGCAGCCACUUGUCACAUACAGAGGUACCAAUACUGUAUGGCUAUGUGGGGCCGGCUGCAGGAUCAGUAUUUACACCCUGAGAAGUGUCAUACCCAAGGAGAUAACUCUCCCUGCCCUGCCUA